UGGGGAAUUUUGGACAAUGGGCGAAAGCCUGAUCUAGCAAUGCCGCGUGUGUGAAGAAGGCCUUCGGGUUGUAAAGCACUUUUGUCCGGAAAGAAAUCCUUGGCUCUAAUACAGUCGGGGGAUGACGGUACCGGAAGAAUAAGCACCGGCUAACUACGUGCCAGCAGCCGCGGUAAUACGUAGGGUGCAAGCGUUAAUCGGAAUUACUGGGCGUAAAGCGUGCGCAGGCGGUUUGCUAAGACCGAUGUGAAAUCCCCGGGCUCAACCUGGGAACUGCAUUGGUGACUGGCAGGCUAGAGUAUGGCAGAGGGGGGUAGAAUUCCACGUGUAGCAGUGAAAUGCGUAGAGAUGUGGAGGAAUACCGAUGGCGAAGGCAGCCCCCUGGGCCAAUACUGACGCUCAUGCACGAAAGCGUGGGGAGCAAAACAGGAUUCAGAUACCCUGGUAGUCCACGCCCUAAACGAUGUCAACUAGUUGUUGGGGAUUCAUUUCCUUAGUAACGUAGCUAACGCGUGAAGUUGACCGCCUGGGGAGUACGGUCGCAAGAUUAAAACUCAAAGGAAUUGACGGGG
rnacentral:rRNA from 1 species